rnacentral:tRNA from 1 species
GCUGUGGUGGUUCAGGUAGAAUUCUCACUUUCCGUGCAGGAGACCUGGGUUCGAUUCCCGGCCAAUGCA